rnacentral:snRNA from 1 species
GUGCUCACUUCAGCAGCACAUAUACUAAAAUUGGAACAAUAUAGAGAAGAUUAGUGUAGUCCCAGUGCAAGAAUAACACACAAAUUUGUAAAGCAUUUCAUU